rnacentral:rRNA from 1 species
AUUGAACGCUGGCGGCAGGCCUAACACAUGCAAGUCGAGCGGUAGCACAAGGGAGCUUGCUCUCUGGGUGACGAGCGGCGGACGGGUGAGUAAUGUCUGGGAAACUGCCUGAUGGAGGGGGAUAACUACUGGAAACGGUAGCUAAUACCGCAUAACGUCUUCGGACCAAAGUGGGGGACCUUCGGGCCUCACACCAUCGGAUGUGCCCAGAUGGGAUUAGCUAGUAGGUGGGGUAACGGCUCACCUAGGCGACGAUCCCUAGCUGGUCUGAGAGGAUGACCAGCCACACUGGAACUGAGACACGGUCCAGACUCCUACGGGAGGCAGCAGUGGGGAAUAUUGCACAAUGGGCGCAAGCCUGAUGCAGCCAUGCCGCGUGUAUGAAGAAGGCCUUCGGGUUGUAAAGUACUUUCAGCGGGGAGGAAGGGAGUAAAGUUAAUACCUUUGCUCAUUGACGUUACCCGCAGAAGAAGCACCGGCUAACUCCGUGCCAGCCGCC